AGAGUUUGAUCCUGGCUCAGAGUGAACGCUGGCGGCGUGCCUAACACAUGCAAGUCGAACGAUGAAACCUAGCUUGCUAGGUGGAUUAGUGGCGCACGGGUGAGUAAUAGAUAGCUAAUAUGCCUCUUGGAGAGGGACAACAGUUGGAAACGACUGCUAAUACCUCAUACUCCUGCUUUUCAUAAGAAGAGUAGGGAAACGAUUUUUUGCCAAGAGAUUAGGCUAUCUCCUAUCAGGUAGUUGGUGAGGUAAAGGCUCACCAAGCCAAUGACGGGUAUCUGGUUUGAGAGGAUGAUCAGACACACUGGAACUGAGACACGGUCCAGACUCCUACGGGAGGCAGCAGUGGGGAAUAUUGCACAAUGGAGGGAACUCUGAUGCAGCAACGCCGCGUGGAGGAUGACGGUUUUCGGAUUGUAAACUCCUUUUAUAUGAGAAGAUAAUGACGGUAUCAUAUGAAUAAGCACCGGCUAACUCCGUGCCAGCAGCCGCGGUAAUACGGAGGGUGCAAGCGUUACUCGGAAUCACUGGGCGUAAAGAGAGUGUAGGCGGCUUUACAAGUCUUGUGUGAAAUCCUAUGGCUUAACCAUAGAACUGCAUGAGAAACUGUAAAACUAGAGUAUGGAAGAGGAAGAUGGAAUUAGUGGUGUAGGGGUAAAAUCCGUAGAGAUCACUAGGAAUACCGAAAGCGAAGGCGAUCUUCUGGGACAUUACUGACGCUGAGACUCGAAAGCGUGGGGAGCAAACGGGAUUAGAUACCCCGGUAGUCACGCCUAAACGAUGAAUGCUAGUCGUCGGGGAGCUGUCUCUUCGGUGAUGCAGUUAACACAUUAAGCAUUCCGCCUGGGGAGUACGGUCGCAAGAUUAAAACUCAAAGGAAUAGACGGGGACCCGCACAAGUGGUGGAGCAUGUGGUUUAAUUCGAAGAUACGCGAAGAACCUUACCCGGCCUUGAUAUCCCAAGAAUAGUCCAGAGACGGACUAGUGCUAGCUUGCUAGAACUUGGUGACAGGUGCUGCACGGCUGUCGUCAGCUCGUGUCGUGAGAUGUUGGGUUAAGUCCCGCAACGAGCGCAACCCCCGUGAAUAGUUGCUAACAGUUCGGCUGAGCACUCUAUUCAGACUGCCUUCGCAAGGAGGAGGAAGGUGGGGACGACGUCAAGUCAUCAUGGCCCUUAUGGCCGGGGCAACACACGUGCUACAAUGGUAUGUUACAAUGAGAGGCAAUACCGCGAGGUGGAGCAAAUCUAUAAAACAUAUCUCAGUUCGGAUUGUAGUCUGCAACUCGACUACAUGAAGCCGGAAUCACUAGUAAUCGCAGAUCAGCUAUGCUGCGGUGAAUACGUUCCCGGGUCUUGUACUCACCGCCCGUCACACCAUGGGAGUUGAUUUCACCCGAAGCCGGGAAGCUAACCUUCGGGAGGCUACCGUCCACGGUGGAAUCAGCGACUGGGGUGAAGUCGUAACAAGGUAACCGUA
rnacentral:rRNA from 1 species